UACAGAGGGUGCAAGCGUUAAUCGGAAUGACUGGGCGUAAAGAGUACGUAGGCGGACAGAUGUGUCAAAGGUGAAAUCCCCGGGCUUAACCUGGGAACUGCCUGUGAAACUAUCUGACUAGAAUAUAGGAGAGGGAAGUGGAAUUUCCGGUGUAGCGGUGAAAUGCGUAGAUAUCGGAAAGAACACCGGUGGCGAAGGCGACUUCCUGGCCUAAUAUUGACGCUGAGGUACGAAAGCGUGGGGAGCAAACAGG
rnacentral:rRNA from 1 species